rnacentral:rRNA from 1 species
AACUCAACAAGCCCCUGUUAAUAACCCCAAAUACCCUAAUAUUUAAAUUAAACAAACCAUUUUUCCCCCUUAGUAUAGGCGAUAGAAAAGGACAUAAGGCGCAAUAGAGAAAGUACCGCAAGGGAACGCUGAAAGAGAAAUGAAACAACCCAGUAAAGCCUAAAAAAGCAGAGAUUAAAGCUCGUACCUUUUGCAUCAUGAUUUAGCAAGUGUAUCUCAAGCAAAGCGAACUUUAGUUUGAUGUCCCGAAACUACGUGAGCUACUCCAAGACAGCCUAAUUAAUAGGGCAUACCCGUCUCUGUAGCAAAAGAGUGGGGAGAGCUUUGAGUAGAGGUGACAAACCUACCGAACCUAGUUAUAGCUGGUUGUCCAAGAAAUGAAUAGAAGUUCAGCCUCUUGGCUUCUCUUUUCACACUAGUUUAACCCCUAAUUGAUACCUUAAGAAACCAAGAGAGUUAGUCAAAGGGGGUACAGCCCCUUUGAAUCAAGACACAACUUUAUUAGGCGGGUAAAGAUCAUAAUAAUUAAAGCUAAGUGUUCGGGUGGGCCUAAAAGCAGCCAUCCCUUUAGAAAGCGUUAAAGCUCGGACAUACAACCUCACCUUCUUAUUCUGAUCACCUAAUCUUACCCCCCUAACCAUAAUGGACCAUCCCAUGCCCCCAUGGGAGUGAUUAUGCUAAUAUGAGUAAUAAGAGAGCCAGAGACUCUCUCCCUGCACACAUGUACAUCGGAACGGACACCCCACCGACCAUUAACGGCCCCAAACAAAGAGGGCAUUGGAAAGCAGACCAAACAACCAGAAAGGCCUCCAAUAAUAAACCGUUACCCCUACACAGGUGUGCCCCCAGGGAAAGACUAAAAGAAAGAGAAGGAACUCGGCAAACAUAUAAGCCUCGCCUGUUUACCAAAAACAUCGCCUCUUGUAAAUCAAAAAUAAGAGGUCCCGCCUGCCCUGUGACUAUUUGUUUAACGGCCGCGGUAUUUUGACCGUGCGAAGGUAGCGCAAUCACUUGUCUUUUAAAUGAAGACCCGUAUGAAUGGCAUAACGAGGGCUUAACUGUCUCCUCUUUCCAGUCAAUGAAGUUGAUCUUCCCGUGCAGAAGCGGGAAUACAUUCAUAAGACGAGAAGACCCUAUGGAGCUUUAGACACAAAAGCAGCCCUCGUUAAGCACCCUGAACAAAGGACUAAACCAAAUGGGCCCUGCCCUAAUGUCUUUGGUUGGGGCGACCGCGGGGAAUUAAAUAACCCCCACGUGGAAUGGGAACACUUUUCCUACAACUGAGAGCCACAGCUCUAGAAAACAGAAUUUCUGACCAACAAGAUCCGGCAAUGCCGAUCAACGGACCGAGUUACCCUAGGGAUAACAGCGCAAUCCUCUUUUAGAGCCCAUAUCGACAAGGGGGUUUACGACCUCGAUGUUGGAUCAGGACAUCCUAAUGGUGCAGCCGCUAUUAAGGGUUCGUUUGUUCAACGAUUAAAGUCCUACGUGAUCUGAGUUCAGACCGGAGUAAUCCAGGUCAGUUUCUAUCUAUGCUAUGCUCUUUUCUAGUACGAAAGGACCGAAAAGAAGAGGCCCAUGCCAAAGGCACGCCUCCCCCCCACCUAGUGAAAUCAACUAAAGUAGGCAAUAGGGCAUGCCCCUAUGCCUGAGAGAAAGGCAU